UGGAAGACAUCUCACGUUCAUGGAUUGGAAAAAUUAAACUUGUGAAAAUGACCAUACUACCGCUGUCGCCAGCUGCUGACGCGGGCAGGUCCCGUGUGGGGCUGCUGGUGCCGGUCGCUAGGGCGGUAGACAUCACGCUGCUAUUCCGGACCAGUGUCAAGACCGUGAAGACGCAGAACAAGGCGCUGGGAGUGGCGGUGAGCGGCGGAGUCGAUGGCAGCCGGGAUGAGCUGUUCCGCCGCAGUCCCUGGCCCAAGGGCGACUUCUCCAGCCGGGCCCAUGAAGUGAUUUCUCACAUUGGCAAACUGAGAGACUGUCUUCUGGAACACAGGAAAGAUUAUAUUAAUGCUUAUAGCUAUACCAUGUCUGAACCUGGGAGGAUGACAGACACAGAACGAGACCAGAUAGACCAGGAUGUCCAGAUAUCCAUGAGGACCUGUUCAGAAACAAUUCAACAAGUACGAACAGAAGCUCACAAGGAGAUACAUUCCCAGCAGUGAAGGAGCACAGGACUGCUGUUUUGGAUUUCAUUGAAGACUACUUAAAAAAAAACAGUGUGUAAACUUUACUCAGAACAAAGAGCCAUCCGAGUUAAGAGUGGUGGAUAAGAAAAGAUUAUCUAAGCUGAAACCAGAACCAAAUACAAAGACAAGAGAAUCCACAUCUGAGAAAGUUUCACAGAGUCCUUCAAAAGACUCUGAAGAAAACCCUGCCACUGAAGAACAUCCAGAAAAGAUUUUGGCUGAAACACAGCCUGAAUUGGGAACCUGGGGAGAUGGCAAAGGUGAAGAUGAAUUAUCCCCAGAAGAAAUACAAAUGUUUGAACUGGAAAAUCAGCGACGAAUUGGUGAAAUGAACAGCUUGUUUGAUGAAGUGAGGCAGAUCGAAGGGAGAGUGGUUGAGAUUUCCAGACUUCAAGAGAUAUUCACGGAAAAGGUUUUGCCACAGGAAGCUGAGAUUGAUAGCAUUCACCAGUUAGUUGUGGGGGCAACUGAAAAUAUCAAGGAAGGCAACAAAGACAUAAGAGAGGCCAUUAACAACAACGCUGGCUUCCACGUGUGAAUCCUCUUCUUCCCCAUGAUGUGUGCUCCUUCUCCUUUCUCUUCCUCGACUGGUACCACAGCUAGCCUGGGCUCCGGGGGCCCAGCACGAGAGUCCUCAUGGGCGCUCACAGACUGCGUACUCUCAUGUACCCCUGGUGCUGGAGCAUGGUAUGACCAGAUUUUACCACAGAGCCAUUUGAAGAGAAAGGGGUUCAGACAGACAGACAUAUUCCCCCAAAAGGGAUACCCAGGCCGAUGGUGUUCAGCUGAAAAAGAAAACAGCGGCAAGUGGCCUAUGUAGCCAUCAUAAGGCUAGACAAACUGAAUGCCGGAGCUGGUAAUUAGUUGUUCCUGAACUUGAGGCUGCCUUGGCAGGGGGGCUGCUCCAGUAGCAGGGGCACAGCAGGUCUCCAGAGCCCCCAAUUGUCUCAGGGUUCUAAGGAAGUCACUGACCUUUCCCAUCCCAGUAGCUUCAGGGAAGAACAUAGUUAAUCACAUCUCUCAACAAAUGAUUACUUCUUUGUUUCCUUGUGGCUUCCUGUCUGUCUGAGUCAACCAAUACAGACUCACCGGAACAUAGAAAAGAAAAUUCACAUUUGCCUUGUUAAUCUAAUAAAUACAAUUACAGCCCCUUUAAAAAAAAGAAAAAGAAAAAGAAAAUGACCAUACUACCAAAAGCAAUCUACAGAUUCAACACAAUCCCGAUCAAAUACCAAUAGCAUUUUUCACCUAAAUAAACAAAAAAUUCGAAAAUUUGGCUAUCCAAAAUGCCAUGGAUAGCCAAAACAAUCCUGAACAAAAAGAACAAAUAGAUAACACACUACCAGACUUUAAAAUAUACUAC